AGGACAGUGAAUUUGGUUUGAGGCCAUCCUGGGCAACUUAGCAACUUAGAUCCCAUCUCAAAAAAAUAAAACGGGCUAGCUCAGUGUGAAAGCCCUAAAUCCAAUGGCCAUUUCCACCAAAACUGAAAACAGUUUGCCAGUUAUUUGUCCAUAGCAGUUCUGAAGUCCAGUCAGCCACACCCUGACUAGAGCUUCAGAGUAUUCUGUGGUGGUUAUUCUAGACUCUUGACCCACCCUCUAAAUCCUGCACAAAGGCAGCAAAUCUUUGCAACCAACUAAUAUUCUCAGUCUACUUGCUUACAAAUUUGAGGAUCCAGUGGCCUUUUACAGCAGUCCUGCCCAAGCUAAUAACCCUACCCCCUCUUUUUAAACUUCUCACAUCAAUUUACAGUCAACUCCAUUACACAGAAGCCACCUGUGAGUCUACUGAAAACAGCCCUCUUAUGUUGGGCACCCUGUGGGUCUGAUAAACAUCUUUCAGAUUCUAAGAAGCCUUGGGCGGGUCGUGCAAGGCAUGCUGUCCAGUUAAUCUUGUCCAUUUGACUGGAUUGAGCUGGGGACAUGGCUGGGGCAUGGGGACACAUAAUAGAUGAAUCGACUGAUGUUUAUAGCUGAAUGUCCUCUUAUGGUGGGAGGUGGGGUGCCUUUACAGGAAGUGGAUCAUUGCCUUUGUAGGGUAUACCUCUUGCCAUUGCUCUUGUGCUGGGCUUCCCUCCAGCUGCCAUGAAGUAAGCAGCUUGUCUCCACCACAACCUUCUGCCAUGAUGUUCCAGCCUCGGAGCCUGCCAACCGUGGUCUGAAACAGAGCCAGAAUUAAACCUCUCCUCCCCUAAGUUGUGGGUAGCAGGUUUUUUGUACCAGCAAUAGGAGAGCUAAUACACAUGCUUUUUUUUAAUUCUUUUUUUUUUUUUUGGUACCGGGGAUCGAACUCGGGACCUUGUACUUGCAAGGCAGGCAGCAGAACCACUGAGCUAAAUCCCCGGCCCUACACAUGCUUUCAGGACACACAGGGAGGUGUUUGUCUGAAAUGUCUUUGGCACUAUUAUCUUUCUGAGAUCUUGAAAAGAAACUUCUCACUUUGGAUUUAGUCUUUGCUUGGAAGCCAUUCUGAAUAUGAGAACACUUAGCUGGCUGAAAGAACUGUUCUGAGCGUUUGUGUUUUCUUUAAAUUCCAUUUGGAAACAAUAAUUUGUUCCUUUUAUUAUGUCUCUCUCAUUUCAGGGGAAAAAAAAUUCAAGUGACACCUGGCUCAAUGCUGCCUGGAAAUCUUAGCUAAACCAAGUUCAUUAGGCACAUUGUCUAUUUUCUGUGAUACCAUAAAUAACAGUUUUAGUAAUCCUUCAUUGAUAGAUUCCUUUUUUAUUUCUAUUUUUUGAUAUUACAUAUACAUUUUUAUAAUUGAUUUUUACCUCCCAGGUUCUCCUUUUGUUACUCUUCCAUUCUUAAUCCCAUUCUUUCCCACCUAUAUGUAGAGGUGAGAGCCUGUCUUUAAUAAAAUAAACCACUAUUUGAGGGUUGUAUUUUAUAACAUUAAAAUUUGCUCCUGUAAAACAUUUAGUCAACAAAAACUCUGAACACCUAAAAACAACACCACAAAUUCAGAAACCAAAGGCAGAAACAAUGGUUUUUUUGGUUUUUUUGUGGUACCUGGGGUUGAACUCAGGACCUUGUGUUUGCAAGGCAGGCUGGCACCACUGAGCUAAAUCCCCAGCCCUAGAAACAAUGUUUUAUAGUGUGGAUGAUACCAUACUCAACCUGUUGAAUCAGACUUUGGACUGAAAAAAAUAUCUGAAAAGACAGUUCUAUGAAAUUGAAAGGAGCCAAGAAAUAAAUGCACUUCUAAAACAUCACUGAAGAGCCACGAGGAUGAACUGGAUUAAAUCUGAUGUUUUCUGGUUGGAUUUGGAUCUUCAUUACUAGUAUCAUUCUCCUGUCAAGAACAUUUCACCAUGGUGACUAGAAUAACUACAAACGUGUGAGUGAGGCUUGUUGAUUUCAGAUAUUAACUUUGUAUUUUCUUAUAGGUACAUUCAUGGAUAAAGUAUUAAUGUUGCAUUUUAAAUUCCAAUAAUCAAAUUCAAAACAUGGUCUCCAACUUUAGAAUGCUUCAACUUCGUGAUUUGGGGGCUACAAUAGAGCAAAAAAGUACCAGUACAACUAUCCCGUUUUUCAUUUCAUUACAGCAUUCAAUACAUACCAGCUGUUCAGCACUUUAUUAUAACAUAGGCUUUGUGUUAGGCGAUGUUGUUCAACUGCAGGCCAAUCUAGUGUUUUGAGCACAUGGAAGAUAGGAUAAUAGAAACCAUGAUUUUAGGUAGGUUAGGUGUAUUAGAUUCAUCUUCAAUUCACGAUAGGUCUAUCAGAGCAUAAUCCCAUUGUCCAUUGAGCACCAUCACAAAUUGGAUAUUUUUCAUUUCCCUCACUCUAGACUAUCAGACCAUGUCAUCGUAGGGAAAUUCUGUCAAUAAGGUUGGUUAUAUAUAUCCAACUUUUACUAAGUAUCAUCAGCUUUUUUCUUUCAUGCAAGUUUACAAUUUUAUCCUACUGUUCUUUGCCAGGCCUUUUUUUUAAAUCAUGAAAGUUGUUUUUAUGACCAACUUGAUGAUGAGUGUUGGUCAUUACUCAGUGCUAAAAGGCAGAUGCUGCUUCUGAAACACAGGAAACAGACAUUCUUCCCCAGACACUUGCUUUCUAAUACAUGCAGGAAAUAUGCAGCAGAAGUC
ensembl:lncRNA